rnacentral:rRNA from 1 species
UUAGCUAGUUGGUGAGGUAACGGCUCACCAAGGCGACGAUCCUUAGCUGGUCUGAGAGGAUGAUCAGCCACACUGGGACUGAGACACGGCCCAGACUCCUACGGGAGGCAGCAGUGGGGAAUAUUGGACAAUGGGGGCAACCCUGAUCCAGCCAUGCCGCGUGAGUGAAGAAGGCCUUCGGGUUGUAAAGCUCUUUCGGCGGGGACGAUGAUGACGGUACCCGCAGAAGAAGCCCCGGCUAACUUCGUGCCAGCAGCCGCGGUAAUACGAAGGGGGCUAGCGUUGUUCGGAAUUACUGGGCGUAAAGGGCGCGUAGGCGGCUGCCCAAGUCAGAUGUGAAAGCCCCGGGCUUAACCUGGGAAUUGCAUUUGAUACUGGGCAGCUUGAGUUUCGGAGAGGUGGGUGGAAUUCCCAGUGUAGAGGUGAAAUUCGUAGAUAUUGGGAAGAACACCGGUGGCGAAGGCGGCCCACUGGACGAAUACUGACGCUGAGGCGCGAAAGCGUGGGGAGCAAACAGGAUUAGAUA